rnacentral:rRNA from 1 species
GGGGAAGGGGGGGGUGCUAAUACAUGCAAGUCGAACGCGUUGGCCCAAUUGAUUGAUGGUGCUUGCACCUGAUUGAUUUUGGUCGCCAACGAGUGGCGGACGGGUGAGUAACACGUAGGUAACCUGCCCAGAAGCGGGGGACAACAUUUGGAAACAGAUGCUAAUACCGCAUAACAGCGUUGUUCGCAUGAACAACGCUUAAAAGAUGGCUUCUCGCUAUCACUUCUGGAUGGACCUGCGGUGCAUUAGCUUGUUGGUGGGGUAACGGCCUACCAAGGCGAUGAUGCAUAGCCGAGUUGAGAGACUGAUCGGCCACAAUGGGACUGAGACACGGCCCAUACUCCUACGGGAGGCAGCAGUAGGGAAUCUUCCACAAUGGGCGCAAGCCUGAUGGAGCAACACCGCGUGAGUGAAGAAGGGUUUCGGCUCGUAAAGCUCUGUUGUUAAAGAAGAACACGUAUGAGAGUAACUGUUCAUACGUUGACGGUAUUUAACCAGAAAGUCACGGCUAACUACGUGCCAGCAGCCGCGGUAAUACGUAGGUGGCAAGCGUUAUCCGGAUUUAUUGGGCGUAAAGAGAGUGCAGGCGGUUUUCUAAGUCUGAUGUGAAAGCCUUCGGCUUAACCGGAGAAGUGCAUCGGAAACUGGAUAACUUGAGUGCAGAAGAGGGUAGUGGAACUCCAUGUGUAGCGGUGGAAUGCGUAGAUAUAUGGAAGAACACCAGUGGCGAAGGCGGCUACCUGGUCUGCAACUGACGCUGAGACUCGAAAGCAUGGGUAGCGAACAGGAUUAGAUACCCUGGUAGUCCAUGCCGUAAACGAUGAGUGCUAGGUGUUGGAGGGUUUCCGCCCUUCAGUGCCGGAGCUAACGCAUUAAGCACUCCGCCUGGGGAGUACGACCGCAAGGUUGAAACUCAAAGGAAUUGACGGGGGCCCGCACAAGCGGUGGAGCAUGUGGUUUAAUUCGAAGCUACGCGAAGAACCUUACCAGGUCUUGACAUCUUGCGCCAACCCUAGAGAUAGGGCGUUUCCUUCGGGAACGCAAUGACAGGUGGUGCAUGGUCGUCGUCAGCUCGUGUCGUGAGAUGUUGGGUUAAGUCCCGCAACGAGCGCAACCCUUGUUACUAGUUGCCAGCAUUAAGUUGGGCACUCUAGUGAGACUGCCGGUGACAAACCGGAGGAAGGUGGGGACGACGUCAGAUCAUCAUGCCCCUUAUGACCUGGGCUACACACGUGCUACAAUGGACGGUACAACGAGUCGCGAACUCGCGAGGGCAAGCAAAUCUCUUAAAACCGUUCUCAGUUCGGACUGCAGGCUGCAACUCGCCUGCACGAAGUCGGAAUCGCUAGUAAUCGCGGAUCAGCAUGCCGCGGUGAAUACGUUCCCGGGCCUUGUACACACCGCCCGUCACACCAUGAGAGUUUGUAACACCCAAAGUCGGUGGGGUAACCUUUUAGGAGCCAGCCGCUAAGGUGACAAGGGAUC